rnacentral:rRNA from 1 species
UACAGAGACCUCAAGCGUUAUCCGGAAUCAUUGGGCGUAAAGCGUACCGAUAGGUGGUUUUGCAAGUCAGAGGUGAAAUCUCAAGGCUCAACUUUGAGACUGUCCUUUGAAACUGCACAACUAGAGGGGCAAAGAGGAAGCUGGAACGAACGGUGUAGUAGUGAAAUGCGUUGAUAUCGUUCGGAACACCAAUAGCGUAGGCAGGCUUCUGGGUGCCACCUGACACUGCUAGGACGAAAGCGUGGGUAGCGAAGUGGG